rnacentral:rRNA from 1 species
AUGGCCAGCUCCAACGCUGCUCCCAUCACCAACACUUCCGGCGCCCUUUCCACCGUCAACGCCGGCACCCUUGCCGCCGGCUCCUCCUCCUCCGCUCCAAUCUCCGUCACCACUCUCGGCAACCUCAUCACGUUGCGCCUCAUGCGGGAGAACUUCCUGCUCUGGAAGACUCAAGCCGUCCCUGCCCUCGCCUCGAACGGUUUGUUCGGCUAUGUUGCCGGCACUGAGGAAGCGCCGCCGCAGACCCUCAUAGAGGGCACUGGCGAUGCAGCUGUCGAGGUCGCCAACCCGGAGUUCCUUCGCUGGUUCCAGAAGGAUCAGCUCGUCAUGAUCGCGCUCCUCGGCUCCAUGACCGAGGAUAUACUCGGGCAGAUGACCCAGCUCACCACUUCCGCUCAGGUCUGGACUACUCUUCAUGAGUUGUUUGCAUCACAGAAUCGUGCUCGUAUCAUGCAGUUGCGCUACCAGCUAUCCAAUCUGAAGAAGAAGGACCUCACCGCCUCGGAAUACUACCGCAAGAUGCGGGGCUUCGCCGACGCCAUGGCUUCCAUCGGCAAGCCGCUCGACGAUGACGAGGUGCUGGGCUACAUACUCGCCGGACUAGGUCCUAAGUUUGAGCCUCUGGUCGCGUCCAUCACGGCGCGCAAUGACCCCAUCAGCCUCAGCAGCUUCUAUGCCUUCUUCCUCAGCGCCGAACUUCGCCUCGAGCAGCAGGCAUCGUCCGGCAACAUCCAUCCGUCCGCAAACGUUGCUGCGCGCCACACUGAUGGUCAUCGUGGCGGACAAGGCGGCCAAGGCGCACACGGCGGACACGGCGAUCAGGGCGGACGUGGUCGUGGAAUGCGCGGCCGCAGCAACGGCCGGACUAACCUGAAGUGUCAGGUCUGCUCCAAGUUCGGCCACGACACCCUCCACUGCCGCAACCGGUUCAACCACGCCUUCCAGCCAGAAGAGCAGCGUGAGCGCUCCGGCAACGUCGCCAACACCGGCCCAGGCUCGUACUCCGUCGACACCGACUGGUAUGUAGAUACCGGCGCCACCGAUCACCUGACGAGUGACCUGGACCGUCUCAGCUUCCAUGAGAAGUAUGGUGGCAAAGACAAGGUGCAUGCAGCCAACGGAGCAGGACCAAACAACGAAGGCGGUUCUUCUUCAAAGUAG